rnacentral:rRNA from 1 species
UACGUAGGGGGCAAGCGUUGUCCGGAUUUAUUGGGCGUAAAGAGCGUGUAGGCGGCCAGGUAGGUCCGUUGUGAAAACUCGAGGCUCAACCUCGAGACGCCGAUGGAAACCACUUGGCUAGAGUCCGGAAGAGGAGAGUGGAAUUCCCGGUGUAGCGGUGAAAUGCGCAGAUAUCGGGAAGAACACCUAUGGCGAAGGCAGCUCUCUGGGACGGUACUGACGCUGAGACGCGAAAGCGUGGGGGAGCGAACAGG